AGAUGGAGGUAGAACGUCUCCGCUCCCUUUUUUCCCCCCUUUCCCUUGCGCAAAAUGGCGGCGGCCAGUUGGAAACCGGAAGUUCCAGAGAGGCGCGCUUUGCCACGCUACUCGUAGACUUCCGCCCUCGAGGACAACGCAGUGGCGCGAGUCGGGGAAAGCAACUGCCCGGUUACGUCACGCGGCGCCUAGUCGGAAGUGAGAUGAUUGCUCCCCGCAGGUCCCGAACCAGUGGAUGACAAGAAAGGAGAUUCUGGCUAAACAUCAAGAAUAACUUUCUGAAGAUGGAGCAGGCAGAAAUGUUUCUGAGGAGGAGUGGUAAGGAAAGAAGCCGUCCGUCCAGUUCAUAACCUGCAACUUGAGUCCCACCCUUUCAGCAAUGUCUCUCUUCCAGACCUGUCUCAGAAUUGAACGUUUGUGUGUGUGAUACAAAAGAUGCAAGCCCAGUCUUGCCUUCUGUGGAAACUUGGAAGGGAUUUGACACUUGUUUCGGCAACAGUAAAUAUGAAAGCUAUGUCAAUAUACUAAAUCUCCCAUUUGUUGCCAGGUAUUUACUUCUGGCAAAGAGAAUCAAAGUAACACCUCAUUCCACGUUAGGGCUUGCACAGAGGGUGUGAUGUAUAACAAAACCCUUUAUUUAAUAGGCAUAAGAUCACAAUGGAUGGUUGUGAUGAUGUUCUGGUGCUACAGACAUGGUGCUCUGCGUUUAGAGUCAACAGCAAGGAGCAUGCAACUGAGAUUCAAAUUGGAGAAUGUGUGAACCCAAGGCCCUUCUUCCUCGGAUUCUAAUGCAGUAGAUUUUGGGUUUUUUUCUAAAUAAUACGAU